rnacentral:rRNA from 1 species
ACACAUGCAAGUCGAACGGGGAUGCCAUUUUCGAGGUGAUUAGUUUACUAAGAGCCAAGAUGUUGGCAUCUUAGUGGCGGACGGGUGAGUAACGCGUGGGUAACCUGCCUUAUACAGGGGGAUAACACUUAGAAAUAGGUGCUAAUACCGCAUAAGCGCACGGGGCUGCAUGGCCCAGUGUGAAAAACUCCGGUGGUAUAAGAUGGACCCGCGUCUGAUUAGCUUGUUGGCGGGGUAACGGCCCACCAAGGCGACGAUCAGUAGCCGGCCUGAGAGGGUGGACGGCCACAUUGGGACUGAGACACGGCCCAAACUCCUACGGGAGGCAGCAGUGGGGAAUAUUGGACAAUGGGGGGAACCCUGAUCCAGCGACGCCGCGUGAGUGAAGAAGUAUUUCGGUAUGUAAAGCUCUAUCAGCAGGGAAGAAAGAAAUGACGGUACCUGACUAAGAAGCCCCGGCUAACUACGUGCCAGCAGCCGCGGUAAUACGUAGGGGGCAAGCGUUAUCCGGAUUUACUGGGUGUAAAGGGAGC